CUCCGCGUAGCUCAGUUGCGGUAGUUAGAGCGUCGCACUAGAUAAGCGAACGUCACGGGUUCAGAUCCCGUCGUGGAGC